GCCUUCUUAGCUCAACUGGUAGAGCAACCGCCUUGUAAGCGGUAGGUUAUUGGUUCAAGUCCGAUAGAAGGCACCA
rnacentral:tRNA from 1 species